UGUGCAUGAAUAUCACUGCAGAGAGUCCAAUGUUCCAUUUUGGAUCACAAAACACACUCAACAAAUGUUUUCUUUUUCCCAAAAAAACAUAAAAUUAAAAGGGAAUCAACUGAGCAGUCCAAUAGAUAAUUUCUAUAAGCAAAAGCUGACUGGCGAUUUCGAUCAGCAAUAAACACAUUCCAUCGCGGAUUAUCCCUAUAUAUGCUCCAUCACAACCCCUGUUAACAUCCAUUUUAUAUUUAUCUAUAUGAUUCCACAUUUCCUCUAUCUUCCAGAUGUUAAUGCAGCUCCAGUUGUCCUGCCCUGCUGCUUUCCAGCAAAAUUCAAGUUAGACCUCCCAUGCAUUGACCCCUUGCUCAGGUUGCUAGAUAUGCUUGAUCUAUCAAAAUCUGCUCCAUUCAUUUCCUGAGAAUCUUUCGAUUUACUCAAAAUUUUUACAUUUGAGAUACCCCCAGCAGUAUCAAAACUAACACCAUUAGGCUGUUUUGAAUCAAUUGAUGGAACUUUCUUGAGUCGGUGAGACUGUGCCAUUGGAGUAACAGCCACAGAAGGCAAAAAUGAUGAGUAUGGAGGAGAUGCUGCUGCUGCUGCUGCAACUUUAGCAACCGCUGCUUUAGCAGCUAUCAUUUCUUGAGCUCCUUCUCGAAGUUGAAUGUAGUCGCCCUCAAUAAAAAAUAAUUCUGGGUGACCAGCCACAAACUCAUCAAGCUUUCCAUACUUUUUCUUGUAAUCAUGCCAAUGUAAAGGUGCAAGCAUCUUGCCCAGCCUAUUAGGUAGCGUUGAAUUGAUCCGAAUUCUACCGCCAGCUGGAAUUGUGCGAACCAUGCAAGCCAACAGAGAUCUUUCAUCAAGGAGGGCAGUCUCUGAAGUUUUCCCUACGGUCACCAUAUUUGUCUGCCCGGUUGAGAUCAAUGAUUCAGAUAAUACUACAGUACCAUUAUUGAUAGUGCCUUCACUGGCAUUAACUGAAUGCAUUGAUGUUUCGGACAAUGAUGCACUGACAGAACUUUGUUGUUCGUCUGUCAAAACUUGGCCAUCUAAUCCCUGAUCACUAAAGCUCAAAACAUUUUGCUCCUUUGCUUCACUGUUUUGAUCAAGAGAAUUCAGUCUUAAGGAAUCACUAAAUUGGGAAGAAAUCUGUUGCAAGCUCUGCUCAGGUUGGGAGGAAACCACGUAACUUCUAUCCAUCGACUCAAGGACCUGUGCUUCCCCAGUAGACGAUGAAAUUACAGGAUCAGGCUCCGUCCCUUGACUGUUGUGAACGUCCAGAUAACCAGGAUGAAAUCCUUGUCCAUUAACAGACACUUCAUACUCAUACUUUGCAUCUGAUCUCA
rnacentral:misc_RNA from 1 species